AGGGCACCAAUGCACACAUGCAUUGGAGAAGACUUUCAUCUCUCCUCUCUCCUACAAUUUUUGGCCUCAUCCCCCAUAACUGUGCAAAUUUUUGUUUCAUUCCCUCAUUUACUCCAAGCCCUUGCACCAAGCAAGCAAGAAAUCCUCUCUAUUUUUCCUCCUCUCCUCCAUCCAUUCGAGACUCACACCCACACACACCUAGUCUCCUCUUCCUCCAUCACAAAACCUUAAGAACACCACCUUGAGGCCUAAACCAAGCUGAGCAAGAAAGGUAGAAGGGGUCAUGCGUGAAGUUUAGGGGAGAGAGAAGUUUUAAGCUACAAGGAUUGAUGUGGAGCUGGGCGCAGCGAGGGCGUGUGGUAGUGGUGGUCGUAAUUCUCAACAAGCAAGUCAAGGUCGUCUUCGAGAAAAGUUAUGUUAUGUGGACUCAUGUCAUUUGACUGAGUUCACUGUUAGUUCUUUAAUUAAAACCUUUUUUAUUUUGGAUGUCUCGUGUGGCACUUGAAAUAAUUUUAUUUUCAUGAAGCCAAUUGAAUAAUUGAGUUGCCUUGUGCACUUAACACCCUUUCA